rnacentral:rRNA from 1 species
AAUCAACGCUGGCGGCGUGCCUAACACAUGCAAGUCGAACGCGAAAGGUUCCUUCGGGGACCCGGUAGAGUGGCGGACGGGUGAGUAACACGUGGGUAAUCUGCCUUUGGGUGGGGAAUAACCCUUCGAAAGAGGGGCUAAUACCGCAUAACGCAGCGGCACCGAAUGGUGACAGUUGUUAAAAGUGGGGAUCGCAAGACCUCACGCCUGAAGAGGAGCCCGCGCCCGAUUAGCUAGUUGGUGCGGUAANGGCGUACCAAGGCGACGAUCGGUAGCCGGCCUGAGAGGGGCGGACGGCCAUACUGGCACUGAGAGACGGGCCAGACUCCUACGGGAGGCAGCAGUGGGGAAUUUUGGCAAUGGGCGCAAGCCUGACCCAGCAACGCCGCGUGAAGGACGAAAUCCCUCUGGGAUGUAAACUUCGAAAGUUGGGGAAGAAAUCCCGCCGAAGAAUAUACGGCGGGAUGACGGUACCCAACGUAAGCCCGGCUAACUACGUGCCAGCAGCCGCCGCAGUAAC